rnacentral:ncRNA from 1 species
CCCGCUGAGUUUAAGCAUAUAAAUAAGCGGAGGAGAAGAAACUUACAAGGACUCCCCUAGUAACGGUGAGCGAACUGGGAGCAGCCCAGCUUGAGAAUCGGGCGGCUGUGCCGUCCGAAUUGUAGUCUGGAGAGGCGUCCUCAGCAACGGACCGGGCCCAAGUCCCCUGGAAAGGGGCGCCUGGGAGGGUGAGAGCCCCGUCCGGCCCGGACCCUAUCGCCCCACGAGGCGCCGUCAACGAGUCGGGUUGUUUGGGAAUGCAGCCCAAAUCGGGCGGUAGACUCUGUCCAAGGCUAAAUACAGGCGAGAGACCGAUAGCGAACAAGUACCGCGAGGGAAAGAUGAAAAGGACUUUGAAAAGAGAGUCAAAGAGUGCAUGAAAUUGCCGGGAGGGAAGCGGAUGGGGGCCGGCGAUGCGCCCCGGCCGUAUGCGGAACGGCUCUUGCUGGUCCGCCGCCAAGCUCGGGGUGUGGACUGUUGUCGGCCGCGCCGGCGGCCAAAGCCCGGGGGCCCUAGGUGCCCCCGGUGGCUGUCGUCGGGACGGCCGGUACCCGCGCGCCGAAAGGCGUGUCCCUCGGGGCACUGCGCUGCAACGGCCUGCGGGCUCCCCAUCCGACCCGUCUUGAAACACGG